ncrna:unclassified sequences IMES-1 RNA motif
AAGAUAACAAGAUCAGGAAGGGAACUGCAGAACCAAGAAUGAGAAAGUUAACUUAGGAAGAGACCAGAAAGGUGAAAGUUCAAGGAAGGUCAGCAUGCAAAAGAUCAAACUUGACCACCGAGAGUAAAAGAGAUCUUACUCAAGGAUGCAGAAGGUAAUCUCACUUUUGACACCUACUGAUCUCGAAUUAAAAAAAA